UCGUGACACGGGCCCCGGGUCCUGCGAGUGACGCUCUCGCUCUGCUUAUCCUCCCGCACUGGCGGGAGAGACGGUGGCUCCAAUUUCUGGCUCCGCGGGCGGCGGGCGGCGGGCGGCUCUCUGGACAGCCCGGGGGUCUGGGCGUCGUGGUGGAUCCGGAAUAGGAAGGGAGCGUACUCCCUGGGUCCUUGGCCUCCACCCAGGCCGGGAAGGAAUCAGGGCGGCCUCCACCGAGAGGAACCAAAAUGGAAAUGUUACCGAACCGAACUUGGGUCUGCUCGCCCGCUGCACAGCAAAGCCAAUCUACUGACACCGGGUUGUGGUGAAGGAAAGUACAGCGUUUAUUUGCAGGGUGCCAAGCAAGGAAAACAGGCAGCUCGUGUUCAAAAGACCCGAACUCCCCGAUGGCUUUCAGGGAAGGGUUUUUUAAGGCCAACAUUUGGGGCGAGGGUUGCAGCUCGUGGACUUUCUUCUGAUUGGUUGGUGGUGAGGUAACAGGGUGAUUUUUUGGGAUUCUUAAUCAUUAACCUUUUGGUUCCAACCAGUCUGGGGUCUGCCUUCUUGUUAGCAUGUAGUCACCAUCCUCCACUGGGUGGGGGGGCGGUCUUAGUUUCUGCAGAAAAACUCAAAGAUAUGCUUCAGAUUGUUAUGUAUAUCCCUUGAGGAGGAACUAGGACUCUGUUUUACCACUGAAAUAUUGUUUAAGCUAUCAUUACUUUUCUUGCCUAACUGCUUUUCCUUUGUUUCUGCAUUCCCUCACUUCCCUAAUUCGUAACUGUUUGAAUCUGCUUUUUGGAACCAGGGAAGGCCUAGGAGACUAAAUCCUUUUUCUACAAACAAGAAAUGGGGGACAUGGAGGGGCUUUUGUACCUGGGAGGGCCCCACAGGGUCCUGCUUGGUCUCAGUCCCCCCUUUUCUUUGAUACUUCUCAAUCCUAAAGGGAGCAGGGGUGGGACAAGAAAGGGAAUAAAGUUUUGGAUAGAGAGGUUAAUCAUAAACUCGUCAGGGGAACUUGGUCUUAGGGGUACUUGGUUUCAGAAACUCCUUGCGGGUAAAUCCUGAUGUGUUUAUGAAAAUAUGAAAAAAAUAAGACUUGGAACUCCAGCUGUCCUAUCCACAAAAAGCCCUCAAUGAAACAAAAAAGUCUAUCUUGACCUUAUAUCAAACAUGUAUUCAUUUGUAUGUUUUAAGUUAGAUAAAAUAUUAAGGUUAUGUGUGUAUGUAUUUUAAAAAUCAUCUUAUUGGCCAAUUUUUAAAAAGUUAACUCACCAACUACUGGGUCUUAUCAGAUAAGAGGGCUUUUAUCUUACACUGAUAAAAUGAAAUAGUAUGAAAUAGUAUGCAAUCUUUAAACAUUCUGUUUGGAAUUAUAUAUAAUGUCAUAUAGAGGUGCUCAUCAUAUAUGGUUAAAUGAAAGAGGAGACUAUAGAAUAGAAUGGGUAGUACCAUUCCAUUUUUGUAAAAAACAUGUUUAGAACAAAGAAGAAUAUAUGGCAAAUGUAAAUGGUGGGUAGUGGAAUUACAGCUGAUUUUAUGCUCUUUAUUUCUUAAUUUUUAUAAUUGUACUAUAAUUUUGUUUUACUUUCAUAAUAAAAAUUAAUAAAUUAAUAAA